AACACAUUCAAGUCGAACGGAGUUUUGUUGAAUUUAAUCCUUUCGGGGAAGCGUUUUAAUGAACUUAGUGGCGGACGGGUGAGUAACGCGUGAGCAACCUGCCUCUGUAAGUGGAAUAACGUCUGGAAACGGACGCUAAUACCGCAUAUCGCAUAGGGACCGCAUGAUUCUUAUGCAAAAGAUUUAUUGUGCUAAGAUGGGCUCGCGUCCCAUUAGAUAGUUGGUGAGGUAACGGGCCCACCAAGUCGACGAUGGGUAGCCGAACUGAGAGGUUGAACGGCCACAUUGGAACUGAGAUACGGUCCAGACUCCUACGGGAGGCAGCAGUGGGGGAUAUUGCACAAUGGAGGAAACUCUGAUGCAGCAACGCCGCGUGAGGGAAGACGGUCUUCGGAUUGUAAACCUAAGUUAUCAGGGACGAUUAUGACGGUACCUGAAGAGAAAGCUCCGGCUAACUACGUG
rnacentral:rRNA from 1 species